rnacentral:rRNA from 1 species
UGGGGUUAAAACCCUGCCUCAAAGAGGGGAAUAGCCUCCCGAAAGGGAGAUUAAUACCGCAUAAUAUGUUACUAG